rnacentral:misc_RNA from 1 species
GCAUGUGCUUUGGACAGGACUAAUUCAGAUAGAGUUUGCAAAAUCAAGAAAGAUUUCACUGAAGGGCCUUCUUAGUUAUGAUAACUUAGGAGUUAUUAAUGGACUGAACAUGCUGUGCUUGAAAAAUUUAUCUUUGUCCACAAGUUCUCCUUCAGAAGAUUCUUCAAGCUCUCCUUUACAAGAGUCUCUCUUUGAAGAUUUUAUGGAGAUGGUUCUGCAGAAGGAGUUGUCAUGUAGUAUCUCAAGUCUACCUGAGUAUCGGGAUUCGCUUUUUGAGACCUUGAAAAAUCCUGCCCAUAAGUUGCAUGAUGCCAUAUACCAUUCAGCAUUUCUCUCAGAUGAAGAGUUCUCUAAUCUAUGCAUUCACAUUCACCGUCUCGUUCGUCAUGAGAUGUUGAUGAGGAAUCAAGGAACUGAAUCAUGUUCAAUCUGUGCACAUCUAAAUGUGGCAUAUUAUGACCAAGAUGUUAUCUUUACUUGCCAGGGUCACUUCAUGUUAUCCAAUUUUCUUGGGGUACAUUCCAAAUUGGUUAAAGGGAAGCCAAUUGCUGGGCAGUAUCAUAGCAAUCCUUCUUUGAACAUAUUGCCAUAUCGACCCCACUCAGUUCUGCAUCCGAUAGGGUCAGCUUUGGUGGAUACUAUGCGAAUUGGUUGCAUGCAUUCCAUUGAAAACAAGUUGAUCAACGAUAUUUGUAAGGCAAGCUUCAAAGGUGUUAAGGACCCUUUACUUGACACGUACACCAGGAAGGAAGUCAUUCGCCUACUUCGCUAUACAUUCCCAAAUUAUGCUCAAUAUGCUCUUGAAGGUUUCAAGACUGAAGGUCUGCUUCAUAAGCUUGGGCUGAACCGCUUAAAGCCCAUACCUUCUAUUCUAAAUAUUUGAACCUCAG